UGUGCGUGGUGCGUGUGCGGCCCUGCUGGGAGCCCGGCUACACGCUGAUCUUAUUCGAUCGGGCCGGGGGCGGCCGCCCGGCCCGAGAUGAGAAGACCACUCCCGCGAAGCCCGCGGGCGCUGUGCGGGGAGCGGAGCUCGGAGGCCGCCGCCGGCCCGCCCGGCGCUCAGAGGUGAUGAGUCGAUCAGAUAGACGAGGCCGCGGGGCGGGUCCGCGCUGGCCCGAGCCCCCGGCCCAUGAGCAUCGAGGCGAUUCUGAUCUGA